AAAUAAAGUUUUAUUUUGUGUAUGGACCUGUCCGUCAGGAAUGGAUUGAGAUUGGUAUUGCAUGACGAACUAGGAAAAAAUAUCUCUACGACACACACAUUUUUCGACCCGAUGGAGUGAGGCAGUAAUUUGCUUAUUAUUACCCUAAGAGUUGUAUAAGACCCUCUACAAGUGGUUUAGCACUGGUUUGCCCAUUAUAAGAGGAGCAAUGUAUAACUGAUCCUGAAAUGUAAGGUUUCCAUUUUACCAUUUCACCGUUCGCCAUAGGGAAGCACAAAUAUUAACAAUCCAGAUGAACGGAAAACAAGAGAAGGGUCAUAAAACAUGGGAUACAAAAGCCAUAAAGCUUGUCAUAAAUGCUGUUGGGAGCAAACAAA